rnacentral:rRNA from 2 species
GGUUAAGCGACUAAGCGUACACGGUGGAUGCCCUGGCAGUCAGAGGCGAUGAAGGGCGUGCUAAUCUGCGAUAAGCGCCGGUAAGGUGAUAUGAACCGUUAUAACCGGCGAUACCCGAAUGGGGAAACCCAGUGUGACUCGUCACACUAUCAUUAACUGAAUCCAUAGGUUAAUGAGGCGAACCGGGGGAACUGAAACAUCUAAGUACCCCGAGGAAAAGAAAUCAACCGAGAUUCCCCCAGUAGCGGCGAGCGAACGGGGAGGAGCCCAGAGCCUGAAUCAGCAUGUGUGUUAGUGGAAGCGUCUGGAAAGGCGCGCGAUACAGGGUGACAGCCCCGUACACAAAAGCGCAUGUGCUGUGAGCUCGAUGAGUAGGGCGGGACACGUGGUAUCCUGUCUGAAUAUGGGGGGACCAUCCUCCAAGGCUAAAUACUCCUGACUGACCGAUAGUGAACCAGUACCGUGAGGGAAAGGCGAAAAGAACCCCGGCGAGGGGAGUGAAAAAGAACCUGAAACCGUGUACGUACAAGCAGUGGGAGCACAGGUUUACCUGUGUGACUGCGUACCUUUUGU